GGGAUUGUAGUAUAGUGGUUAGUAUAACUCGUUGUGGCCGAGUUGACCCAGGUUCGAUUCCUGGCAAUCCCA